UCGGAAUUACUGGGCGUAAAGCGGACGUAGGUGGCUAUUUAAGUCAGGGGUGAAAUCCCCCGGCUUAACUGCGGAACUGCAUCUGAAACUGGUUAGCUAGAGUAGGGUAGAGGGAAGUAGAAUUCCAGGUGUAGCGGUGAAAUGCGUAGAGAUUCGGAGGAAUACCAGUGGCGAAGGCAGCUUCCUGGUACAUUACUGACACUGAGGUUCGAAAGCGUGGGUAGCAAACAGGAUUAGAUACCCUGGUAGUCCACGCCGUAAACGAUGUAUACUAGUCGUUGGGCCUUAGACUGUUCAGUGACGCAGCUAACGCAUUAAGUAGUCCGCCUGGGGAGUACGGCCGCAAGGUUAAAACUCAAAUGAAUUGACGGGGGCCCGCACAAGCGGUGGAGCAUGUGGUUUAAUUCGAUGCAACGCGAAGAACCUUACCUGGUCUUGACAUACACAGAAUGGGCAAUGGAGACGAUGUCCUUCAGUUGGAAUUGCCCCUGAACAGGUGCUGCAUGGCUGUCGUCAGCUCGUGUCGUGAGAUGUUGGGUUAAGUCCCGCAACGAGCGCAACCCUCGCCCUUAGUUACCAGCGUUUGGCCGGGAACUCUAAGGAUACUGCCAGUGACAAACUGAGAGGAAGGCGGGGACGACGUCAAGUCAUCAUGGCCCUUACGACCAGGGCUACACACGUGCUACAAUGGUGGUGACAGUGGGCAGCUACACAGCGAUGUCGAGCGAAUCUCCAAAAGCCAUCUGAGUCCAGAUUGCAGUCUGCAACUCGACUGCAUGAAGUUGGAAUCGCUAGUAAUCGCGGAUCAGAAUGCCGCGGUGAAUACGUUCCCGGGCCUUGUACACACCGCCCGUCACACCAUGGGAGUUGAUUGCACCAGAAGGUGGUGCGCUAACCGAAAGGAGGCAGUUCACCACGGUAGGGUCA
rnacentral:rRNA from 1 species